ACGUUUGGAAACGAACGCUAAUACCCUAUAUGCCUUUAGAACAAAAGUUCGCAAGGGAAAUAUUUAUAGCUCGAAGAUUGGCCUGUACAGUAUCAGUUAGUUGGUGAGGUAAUGGCUCACCAAGACAAUGACGCUUAACUGGUUUGAGAGGAUGAUCAGUCACACUGGAACUGAGACACGGUCCAGACUCCUACGGGAGGCAGCAGUGGGGAAUAUUGCACAAUGGACGAAAGUCUGAUGCAGCAACGCCGCGUGGAGGAUGACACAUUUCGGUGCGUAAACUCCUUUUAUAUAUGAAGAUAAUGACGGUAAUAUAUGAAUAAGCACCGGCUAACUCCGUGCCAGCAGCCGCGGUAAUACGGAGGGUGCAAGCGUUACUCGGAAUCACUGGGCGUAAAGAGAAUGUAGGCGGGUAAUUAAGUCAGAAGUGAAAUCCAAUAGCUCAACUAUUGAACUGCUUUUGAAACUGAUAAUCUAGAAUAUGGGAGAGGUAGAUGGAAUUUCUGGUGUAGGGGUAAAAUCCGUAGAGAUCAGAAGGAAUACCGAUUGCGAAGGCGAUCUACUGGAACAUUAUUGACGCUGAGAUUCGAAAGCGUGGGGAGCAAACAGGAUUAGAUACCCUGGUAGUCCACGCCCUAAACGAUGCACACUAAGUUGUUGUGAGGCUAGACCUUGCAGUAAUGCAGUUAACACAUUAAGUGUGCCGCCUGGGGGAGUACGGUCGCAAGAUUAAAACUCAAAGGAAUAGACGGGGACCCGCACAAGCGGUGGAAGCAUGUUGGUUUAAUUCGACGAUACGCGAAGAACCUUACCUGGACUUGACAUAGAUAGAAUAUAACAGAAAAUGUAUUAAUUGCUAGCUUGCUAGAACUAUCCUACCAGGGGCUGCACCGGCUGUCGUCAACUCCUGGCCUUGGAAUAUUUUUGGGUUAAAUCCCCCCACCAAGCGCAACCCCUCGUCCAUUAUUUGGCUAACAAGUUCCGGCUGAGAACUCUAAUGAGACUGGCUGGUGAACCCCCAAGGGAAGGGGGGAGAGGCAACCCUCAAAGCUUCUAUGGCGCUUCAUUUCAAGGGUACACCCGCUCCCACCAUAGGGGGGUUACAAAAAGCCCCCCACACCCCCGGGGGGGGGGAGAAAUUCUCAAAUAUUCCCCCCUCUCCCGAAAAAGUUCGCACCCCCCCCUCUCCGGAGUUGGAAGGCGGCAAAAAUCCAAAAUAAACAAAAACCCACCGGGGGAAAAAUUCUCCCGGUUGUGUUUCCGGCCCCCCCCCCCCCCCCGGGAGAGAAGAAUUUUUUAAAAAGGGGGAGGAGAGGAACCCCCCCCCCCCCCCCCUUAUAUAUUUGGGGGGGAGAGGGGAAAAAAAAAGAAGGGGGGAAACAACAC
rnacentral:rRNA from 1 species